CAGCGUGGGUUAAUAGGCCCAUAGGCAGCGUGGUAUAAUAGGCAGCGUGGGAUAAUAGGCCCGUAGUCAGCGUGGGUUAAUAGGUCCGUAGGCAGCGUGGGUUAAUAGGCAGCAUGGGUUAAUAGGUCUGUAGGCAGCGUGGGUUAAUAGUCAGUGUGGGUUAAUAGGUCCGUAGGCAGCGUGGGUUAAUAGGUCCGUAGGCAGCGUGGGUUAAUAGGCCCGUAGUCAGCGUGGGUUAAUAGGCAGCGUGGGUUAAUAGGUCCGUAGGCAGCGUGGUAUAAUAGGCAGCGUGGGUUAAUAGGCCCAUAGGCAGCGUGGUAUAAUAGGCAGCGUGGGUUAAUAGGCCCGUAGUCAGCGUGGGUUAAUAGGUCCGUAGUCAGCGUGGUAUAAUAGGCAGCGUGGGUUAAUAGGCAGCGUGGGUUAAUAGGCCCGUAGUCAGCGUGGGUUAAUAGGUCCGUAGGCAGCGUGGGUUAAUAGGCAGCAUGGGUUAAUAGGUCUGUAGGCAGCGUGGGUUAAUAGUCAGCGUGGGUUAAUAGGCCCGUAGUCAGCGUGGGUUAAUAGGCAGCGUGGGUUAAUAGGUCCGUAGGCAGCGUGGGUUAAUAGGCAGCAUGGGUUAAUAGGUCUGUAGGCAGCGUAGGUUAAUAGUCAGCGUGGGUUAAUAGGUCCGUAGGCAGCGUGGGUUAAUAGGUCCGUAGGCAGCGUGGGUUAAUAGGCCCGUAGGCAGCAUGGGUUAAUAGGUCCGUAGGCAGUGUGGGUUAAUAGUCAGCGUGGGUUAAUGGGUCCGUAGGCAGCGUGGGUUAAUGGGUCCGUAGGCAGCGUGGGUUAAUGGGUCCGUAGUCAGCGUGGGUUAAUAGGCAGCGUGGGUUAAUGGGUCCGUAGGCAGCGUGGGUUAAUAGGCCCGUAGUCAGCGUGGGUUAAUAGGCAGCGUGGGUUAAUAGGCAGCGUGGGUUAAUAGGCAGCAUGGGUUAAUAGGUCCGUAGUCAGCGUGGGUUAAUAGGCAGCGUGGGUUAAUAGGUCUGUAGGCAGCGUGGGUUAAUAGGUCUGCAGGUAGCGUUGGUUAAUAGGUCUGUAGGCAGCCUGGGUUAAUGGGCAGCCUGGGUUAAUAGGUCUGUAGGCAGCGUGGGUUAAUAAGCAGCGUGGGUUAAUGGGCAGCGUGGGUUAAUAGGCAGCGUGGGAUCAUAGGCCCGUGGGCAGCGUGGGAUAAUAGGCAGCGUGGGUUAAUGGGCAGCGUGGGUUAAUGGGCAGCGUGGGUUAAUGGGCAGCGUGGGUUAAUGGGCAGCGUGGGUUAAUGGGCAGCGUGGGUUAAUGGGCAGCGUGGGAUAAUAGGCAGCGUGGGUUAAUGG